GCAAUCCGAACAACGUAUUAUAUAUUUUGUUGUCGAAACAACGAAUGGAUGAAUCCGGAACUGUUAAAACAGUUCCGGAUUCAUCCAUUCGUUGUUUCGACAACAAAAUAUGUAAUACGUUGUUCGGAUUGC
rnacentral:miRNA from 1 species